AGAGCGUCCUGUCCCUGGCCAGCUCUGGGGGUUAAACAGACAUCGUCAACACUCUGCUCCAACACCACAUAAGGACAUAAACACUUACAACUGGAACGGAAGAACUCCUCUAUGCGGUCCGUGGGAACCAUGUGAAGUGUGUAGAGUCUCUGCUGAGUGAGGAGUCCGCUGUGAUCUUUCCAACUUAACCCAAAAAACGAACCCCACACUAUGUGUUGGGAAGUUUCGUUCCUUAUGGAAAGCCGGGGAACAGACCUGACCAUGGAGGCAGACUCCGGAUACAGCCCCAUGGAUUUAGCUGUGGCUCUGGGACACAAGAAGGUCCAACAGGCUACUGAAACUCACAUCCUCAAUUUACUCAAGAAGAAAGAACAAUGCAGUCGGAAAGUCUUUGUGGAGAACGAUGCAAGAUUCUGGUGUGGUCUACAGACGGUACCCAAAGACUUGAUAUGUCUAUCUUGUUUGUGAUGCAGGGGGGACUCUGAGACGAAUUGCUCCCUCGCUGCGAUGUGGACCGUGGGCAGAGCUUCGCAAAAGGCUUAGUGAGUGUUAGGGGUCACAGACCAGCACUGCCUUCCUUCUUCACAAUGCACUUUUGAAGCACCCUUGAGUUUUUCAAUCAGGAGCCUUUUUUAAAAUAACUCAAGAGUGAAGAGUGAUGCCUUAAACACACACAUGACUUUCUCAAAAGAGCUUUGAAACAGACUUUAAAGUUAGAAGUGUAAAAAGUUGUCAGGAUGUUAACAAUGAAAAGAAAAAUUACAGGUAUGCUAUUAAUGCUAUUUAAAGAAUACAUUUAAAAAAAAUAAUUUUGUUGUCAUCAGAAUUACUUUUUGCAAACAUGGUAUAUGUUCUUCAAAGAUACACUGUUGAGUUUCCUAUCAUGAAUCUAUUUUAUGAUGCAUACAUGUAUUUUUGAAAGUUAAGGCAGGGCAACUUCUUGAACUCCACAGAGUUCACAC